UUUUUUUUAUAUACGUUCAUUCUCUUGUAUCAUGGUCAGAUAUUUGAUCCAAUGAAGAGGAACAAAGAACGGCAACAAUUCACACGCUAAAAAUAAUGUUAUAGUGAUCGUCAGCCGCCUUUGCGAUCUCAUUAUCACAAACAGCAGAAUACGACUAUCUCGAGGCUUGAGAUCGUACCAAAGCGAUUCGUAUGUCGUAUCAGCGAUCGUUCUGCUCUAGAAUGCAAACGAGGGACAGGUACGUGGAGAAGGAUGGAAGAAUGAAAAACGCGAAGCCAGGUGCGUCAGGUGCGUCAGGUGCUUCGGCACUCGCGAGCGCAGUGCUUUAUUAUCGCAUACUCACUUUAUUGCUGAUAUAUUCGCCAGCGAAACAAAAGAUAAAUGCCUCCAAGGUGAUAGCAAGGUAGAAAAAUACAGUCUUUACCAACAUCCUGAUACCUUCGUUUGUGCCCAAUGACUGUAAGCCAAGAAGAUGAUCAGGAAGAACGUUCGACGAUUGCUAUAACGCAGAGGUCUCAGACAACAAGGGAGCAACAAGUGGAUAAUUUUCCCUCUCCCCUAUCAUAUGCGGCCCAUAACGGGCCCCCGAUUAAUUCUGUAGCUUUUCAGCAAAGUUGAUUCCUCCUUUGACAUCACUAUAUCGAAACAGUGCUCGUACAUUCAAAAAUCGCUUUUAAUUGUACACAUAUAUGUAGGUAAGUCAAA